AAGGGGUUAGUUAAACCAUAACCCUGGCUUGUCAGACCAGCAUUGCCGGUUGAACCCCGGUACCCCUUG
rnacentral:tRNA from 1 species